AGGAUUAACGCUGGCGGCGUGCCUGACACAUGCAAGUCGAACGAGGCCGCAAGGCCUAGUGGCGGACGGGUGAGUAACACGUGACCAACCAACCCCGAAGUUGGGAAUAGCUCUGCGAAAGUAGAGGUAAUACCGAAUACCCCCACCGGGUCACAUGGCCUGAUGAGGAAAUGGGUUUCUGCUUCGGGAGGGGCUCGCGGCCUAUCAGCUUGUUGGCAGGGUAAUGGCCUACCAAGGCAACGACGGGUAGCUGGUCUAAGAGGACGACCAGCCACACUGGGACUGAGACACGGCCCAGACUCCUACGGGAGGCAGC
rnacentral:rRNA from 1 species